CUGACCUUUGAAAUAAUUAUGGGUUUAUAUAUCCCAGGCCUGCCCCUGCAUCAACUGAUCCUGGAAGUAAAGACAAGAUGGAAUUCUCUCUAUCAAAUGAUUCAGAGAUUUUUCGAGCAGUACCCCACUAUCCAGGCAACUCUGAUGGACCCACGGAUCAGAAAGCAUGUGGAGAUAGACCGAGUCAACAGCUUUGAGAGUGCAGACUUUAGGAAGGCAGAGGAAUUUAUGGAGCUGAUGGAACUGCUCCACACAUCUACUCUCUGUGUCUCAGGCGACAGAUAUCCCACCUGUAGCCAGAUUAUUCCAAUCCUGCAGAAGCUCGAGAGCCACUUCACUGUCUGCCAGGGGGACUCAGCCUUUGUAGUGGCUAUCAAGCAGGUCAUUUGGGGCGAUCUUUCCAAAUGCUACAAGGACAGGGAUGUGCGUUUCUUCCUUGAGGAGUCCACAGUGAUGGACCCCAGAAGGUUUCGCUACAGAUUGGAGGAGGAUGUCAUCUGGGAUAGGCUGAGGAGAAGAGCCGUGGCUGACCACAGAGUGGAGCCGGUU